CUUUGACCAUUCCCUUACAAAGUUUUAUGGUUUUCUUGUAAGAAGACCAAUUACAAGAGAGGUACAAGGCCGUUAGUUCUAACUAUUUCAUAAACUCGGGAUCUACAUGAAUCAACAGUCCAGAUUAUAGAACAUCAUAAUAUGCAGGCAGCCAAUAAGGCAAGUGCAGCUACAACUGCUGAGAAAGGCUUCAAGUUGCUGCAUAAGUCAAUAUCUUGCGGAAGCCCCUGUUGUGCUCUAGCAAUUUAUCCCAUGGAGGCACACAUUCUUUAAUAGUUGGGAGUUCCAAAAACUUGGCAAACCAAGCAUCAAGCAGAGGCAUGGUCUUUGCAUCAAUCAGGUUCACAUCUGCUAUUUUCUCAACUAUACGAGCCCAUAUUCCAAUCCAGCCAACGGCAACGUCCACAAAGUUUAUUUUUUCACCUCCAAAGAGUUGCUUCCCCUCAAGGCCACUCUCCAGAGUUUUGAGAUGCUCCCUAGCUUCUUCUGCUGCUUUCUCUUUAUCCUCUCCUUCUGCCACAAAUGUUCGCAUGACCGAUGGCACACACUUGUCAUCUGCAAAAUUCGACCAGAAGCGUGCUUUAGCCCUACCGUAAGGAUCUUGUGGGAGAAGAGGACUUUCCUUCCACACCUCAUCAAUGUAUUCCAUGAUCACCAAAGACUCUGCCAAGGGUUUGCCUUCAUGUACAAGGACAGGAAUUUUUUUAUGAACAGGGUUGUAUUGCAGCAGCAGGGGACUCUUGUUUGGUAGAUCCUCUUCGAUAUACUCAUAUUGAAUUCCUUUCACCCUCAGAGUCAAGUGGGCUUUGAAACUUAAA
rnacentral:misc_RNA from 1 species